rnacentral:rRNA from 1 species
CCUACGGGUGGCAGCAGUAGGGAAUCUUCCACAAUGGACGAAAGUCUGAUGGAGCAACGCCGCGUGAGUGCAGAAGGGUUUCGGCUCGUAAAGCUCUGUUGGUAGUGAAGAAAGAUAGAGGUAGUAACUGGCCUUUAUUUGACGGUAAUUACUUAGAAAGUCACGGCUAACUACGUGCCAGCAGCCGCGGUAAUACGGAGGGGGCAAGCGUUGUCCGGAUUUAUGGGGCGUAACGGGAGUACAGGUGGUUCAAUAAUUCUGAUGUGAAAGCCUUCGGCUCAACCGGAGAAUUGCAUCAGAAACUGUUGAACCUGAGUGCAGAAGAGGGUAGUGGAACUCCAUGGG